rnacentral:misc_RNA from 1 species
UUUCCGUAGGUGAACCUGCGGAAGGAUCAUUAAAGAACGCCCCGUUUUUUGAAAUGGGUAAUUCUAAACCGUGUAUACAUACCUUUGUUGCUUUGGCAGGCUGCCCCUCAGGGCGUCGGCUCCGGCUGACUGCGCCUGCCAGAGGACCCAAACUCUUUUGUUUAGUGAUGUCUGAGUACUAUAUAAUAGUUAAAACUUUCAACAACGGAUCUCUUGGUUCUG